rnacentral:rRNA from 1 species
AAACGACUCUCGGCAACGGAUAUCUUGGCUCACGCAUCGAUGAAGAACGUAGCAAAAUGCGAUACUUGGUGUGAAUUGCA